rnacentral:rRNA from 1 species
UACGGAGGGUGCAAGCGUUAUCCGGAUUCACUGGGUUUAAAGGGUGCGUAGGCGGGCAGGUAAGUCAGUGGUGAAAUCUCCGGGCUUAACCCGGAAACUGCCGUUGAUACUAUCUGUCUUGAAUAUCGUGGAGGUAAGCGGAAUAUGUCAUGUAGCGGUGAAAUGCUUAGAUAUGACAUAGAACACCCAUUGCGAAGGCAGCUUACUACACGAUCAUUGACGCUGAGGCGCGAAAGCCAGGGGAGCGAACGGG